rnacentral:rRNA from 1 species
AUGGGAAGCAGAGCAGCGCCGCCGCCGGCGGGACACCACCCGUCGCCGGCCAUGGCGUCCUCCGCCUCCGCCACCGCCGCCGCCGCCGCGAAGGCCGACGCUCCCUUCUGCCCCAUCGACAUCUCGUCCGACGAGGACGACGACGUGACAGUCCUUGGCUCCUCCAACAGCCGCGAGGAGAUGCAGAUCCAGCAGGCCAUCCUCCUCUCCCUCGACCCCUCUCGCGACCAGGCCACCGUCCCCUCCUCCUCCGGAACCGCCGUCGCCGGGGCCUCCGAAUGGUCCAUUCCAGGCCGCAAGGGGAGGCGCAAACUAGGAUCGGAGCUGCCCCUGUUUCCUGUCGAUUCCAGCAGAUCUCCGUCGAAACCAGAGACGCGUCAAGUCAUCGACUUGGACGACGACAGCCCCCCUCAAGUGAUCGAUCUGUACGACGAUGAUGGCUGCAGCUUGAUCUUCCUCAAAGACAUCGCCAGCGGCAAGAGGAAGCUGUUCGAGAAAGGCGAAUGCUCCAACAGCGCCAAGGGCUUCGACUGCACGAUCUGCAUGGAGACGGUUCCCGGCGUCGAGCGCUUCCGCAUCCCCGGGUGCCGGCACGCGUUCUGCGCCGGCUGCGUGAGGCAGUACAUCGCCGCGAGGGUGGAGGAGAACCUGCUGGCCAUCGGCUGCCCCGACCCGGGCUGCAAGGACGGCGUGCUGCACCCGGAGGAGUGCCGGCGCGUGAUCCCGGCGCCGCUGUUCCACAGGUGGGGCGCCGCGCUCUGCGACAUGGCGCUCGGCGAGCUCAAGUUCUACUGCCCCUUCAAGGACUGCUCGGCGCUGCUGGUGGACGACGACCCCGGGGACGGCGACGCGGCGGCGAAGGUGGAGUGCCCCCAUUGCAAGCGGGUGUUCUGCGCGAAGUGCAAGGUGCCGUGGCACGAGGGGGUGGAGUGCGCCGAGUUUCAGCGGCUCGGGGACGACGAGCGCGGGCGGGAGGACCUGCUGCUGAGGAAGGUGGCGCAGCAGAGCAAGUGGCAGCGGUGCCCCAAGUGCAAGAUCUACGUCGAGAGGGUGGACGGCUGCACCUUCAUCGCCUGCAGGUGCGGGCACUGCUUCUGCUACCUGUGCGGCUCUACGAUGGCGAGGAGCAACCAUUAUUGCGCAAAGUGCAAGCGGUGA